rnacentral:rRNA from 1 species
AUGGAUGAUUUAUUGCUGCAAGAAGUUGAUGCUGACCUAGCAAAUUUGGAACAUGAGCCCGUGGACGAUACUGAUUUGAUUACAUCUGUUCAAGUCACUAAUGAAUGGACCAACUUUAGGCAACAAUUGUCGCAAGACAUGUAUGUUGAAUACCUUCUCAGGCAUGCUGAAUUAGAGAUGGCCAGAAUGGCUGAAGGAACUGGUACUAGAAAGAGGACUUAUGUCACUUGGGAUGAUGAGAUGGACGCUGCCUUGCUUGAGGUACUUGUUCAUCAUCACAACAUGGGUGACCAUUCACAAAAUGGAUGGAAAGCACAUGUGUACAGUGCAGCUAUCAAGAAUGUGAAGGAGAAGUGCAAUAAGGAUAUCGCGAAGAACAACAUAUUAGGAAGGCUUAGGACUUCCGACAAUCAAUUUGAAAUCAUUAACAAUAUCCUUUCUCAAAGCGGUUUUGGUUGGGAUUGGGUCAAUAAUAAGCUAUCCAUGGAUAGCGACGAUGUGUGGACUAAAUAUUUGGAGGCUAAUAAGAAAGAGAAAGCAUUAGCUUCUUACAAGACCAAAGUAGUGAAGCACUGGGAAGCCAUCUCUACCAUAUAUUCAAAAGAUCAUGCGGAUGGUGAAGGUGCCAAGACAGGUGCUGAGACUGCUGCUGAGACUGCUGCUGAUCUAGAAGAAACAAUUGAAGUCUCUCCAAAAACGGUACCAAAGAGACAACGAACAGGUGAUGCCAUUAUGUGCAUGAUUGGAGAAAUGAGGACUACUUUUAAGGAUGCUUUGAAGACAACUGAUCCACUUCCAUUGCCAAAGGUUACUACUCCUUCUGAAAUACUU